rnacentral:misc_RNA from 1 species
CGUCGGUCUGAGGAGGGGCCGCUUCGCCAUGUCGCCCCGCACCUGCUGAGCCCGGAGCGUCCGAGGAUGUCCGCGCUGAGGAAGGCUUUCUCGCCAUCCGAGGCUUGGCCCUAGCCCUGCGCGGCUUCCCUCGCGGCUGCGAACCCUCUGCCUGCGCCCAGCCCAGCCACAAUGGGGACUGCUCAG